rnacentral:rRNA from 1 species
CCUACGGUGGCAGCAGUGGGGAAUAUUGGACAAUGGGCGAAAGCCUGAUCCAGCCAUGCCGCGUGUGUGAAGAAGGCCUUCGGGUUGUAAAGCACUUUCAGUGGGGAAGAAAGCCUUGGGGCUAAUACCCUCGAGGAAGGACAUCACCCACAGAAGAAGCACCGGCUAACUCCGUGCCAGCAGCCGCGGUAAUACGGAGGGUGCGAGCGUUAAUCGGAAUUACUGGGCGUAAAGCGCGCGUAGGCGGUCUGAUAAGCCGGUUGUGAAAGCCCCGGGCUCAACCUGGGAACGGCAUCCGGAACUGUCAGGCUAGAGUGUAGGAGAGGAAGGUAGAAUUCCCGGUGUAGCGGUGAAAUGCGUAGAGAUCGGGAGGAAUACCAGUGGCGAAGGCGGCCUUCUGGACUGACACUGACGCUGAGGUGCGAAAGCGUGGGUAGCACACAGGAUUAGAUACCCUUGUAGUC